rnacentral:rRNA from 1 species
GACGAACGCUGGCGACGUGCUUAACACAUGCAAGUCGAACGGAAAGGCCCUGCUUUUGUGGGGUGCUCGAGUGGCGAACGGGUGAGUAACACGUGCGUAACCUGCCCUUUACUUUAGGAUAACUUCAGGAAACUGGGGCUCAUCCCGGAUAGGAGCUCCUGCUGCAUGGUGGGGGUUGGAAAGUUUCGGCGGUUGGGGAUGGACUCGCGGCUUAUCAGCUUGUUGGUGGGGUAGUGGCUUACCAAGGCUUUGACGGGUAGCCGGCCUGAGAGGGUGACCGGCCACAUGGGGACUGAGAUACGGCCCAGAGUACUACGGGAGGCAGCAGUGGGGAAUAUUGCACAAUGGGCGGAAGCAGGAUGCAGCAACGCCGCGUGCGGGAUGACGGCCUUCGGGUUGGAAACCGCUUUCGCCUGUGACGAAGCGUGAGUGACGGUAAUGGGUAAAGAAGCACCGGCUAACUACGUG